UCCUACGGGAGGCAGCAGUGAGGAAUAUUGCGCAAUGGGGGCAACCCUGACGCAGCGACGCCGCGUGAGUGAGGAAGGCCUUCGGGUCGUAAAACUCUGUCAGAAGGGAAGAAGUGUUAGACGGUUAAUACCCGUGUAAUUUGACGGUACCUUCAAAGGAAGCACCGGCUAACUCCGUGCCAGCAGCCGCGGUAAUACGGAGGGUGCGAGCGUUGUUCGGAAUCACUGGGCGUAAAGGGCGCGCAGGCGGCGUGUUAAGUCAGAUGUGAAAUCCCACGGCUCAACCGUGGAAGUGCAUUUGAAACUGGCAUGCUUGAGUAUCAGAGGGGAAAGUGGAAUUCCCGGUGUAGAGGUGAAAUUCGUAGAUAUCGGGAGGAAUACCGGUGGCGAAGGCGACUUUCUGGCUGAAUACUGACGCUGAGGCGCGAAAGCGUGGGGAGCAAACAGGAUUAGAUACCCUGGUAGUCCACGCCGCACAUGUGAACUAGAUGUUGGAGGUGUUGAUCC
rnacentral:rRNA from 1 species